GUUGUGUGUUGUGUAGGGCGUAUAGUGGAUGCCUGUGGUAUAUCGAGCCGAUGAAGGACGUGAGAGGCUGCGUUAAGCCUCGGGGAGUUGUCAGCUAAGCGUUGAUCCGAGGAUGUCCGAAUGGGGUAACCUGGCCAUCGUUAUGGGUGGUGACCACGUGGUGAAUGUAUAGCCAUGGUGGGGGUAACGCGGGGAAGUGAAACAUCUUAGUACCCGUAGGAAGAGAAAACAAUUUGUGAUUUCGUGAGUAGUGGCGAGCGAAAGCGGAUGAGGCUAAACCUGGUGUGUGUGAUACGUGGCAGUGGUUGCAUGCUAGGGGUUGUGGGGUUUUUUGCGUAACAGUUCUGCCAGGCUGUUGAUUGUUGUGGUUGCAAGAGCGGAAGUGGUGUGGGAGCACUCGUCGUAGAAGGUGAUAGCCCUGUACGUGUACUUGUGAUUGUGAUGGUUUGUGAAUUGUCCCCGAGUAGCAGCGGGCUCGUGGAAUCUGCUGUGAAUCUGCCGGGACCACUCGGUAAGCCUAAAUACUUGAUAUGACCGAUAGUGGAUUAAGUACCGUGAGGGAAUGGUGAAAAGUACCCCGGGAGGGGAGUGAAAUAGUACCUGAAACUGUGCGCUAACAAUCCGUCAGAGCCUCUGUGUGGGGUGAUGGCGUGCCUUUUGAAGAAUGAGCCUGCGAGUCAGCGGCAUGUCGCUUGGGUUAACCUUUGGUGGGUAGCCGUAGCGAAAGCGAAUCCUCAUGGGGUGUGUGUGGCAUGUCCUGGACCCGAAGCGGAGUGAUCUACCCAUGGCCAGUGUGAAGCAAUUGUAAGAGGUUGUGGAGGCGCGAACCCACUUAGGUUGAAAACUGAGGGGAUGAGUUGUGGGUAGGGGUGAAAGGCUAAUCAAACUCCGUGAUAGCUGGUUCUCCCCGAAAUGCAUUUAGGUGCAGCGUUGUGUGUGCUUGCUGGAGGUAGAGCUACUGGUUGGUUUAGCGGGACGAUCAUCUUAGCGAUAUCAGCCAAACUCCGAAUGCCGGUAAGUGUGAGCAUGGCAGUGAGACUGUGGGGGAUAAGCUUCAUAGUCGAGAGGGAAACAGCCCAGAUCGCCGGCUAAGGCCCCUAAGGGUGUGCUAAGUGGAAAAGGAUGUGGGAUCGCGAAGACAGCCAGGAGGUUGGCUUAGAAGCAGCCAUCCUUGAAAGAGUGCGUAAUAGCUCACUGGUCGAGUGGUUCUGCGCCGACAAUGUAGUGGGGCUUAAGUACACCGCCGAAGCCGCGGCAAGAACACAUGUUUGGUGUGUUGUUGGGUAGGGGAGCGUCGUGUAUGUGGUGAAGUUGCCGGGUGACCGUGUGAUGGAGUGUACGCGAGUGAGAAUGCAGGCAUGAGUAACGAUUGAUAAGUGAGAAUCUUAUCCGCCGUAUGACUAAGGGUUCCUGGGUCAAGUUCGUCUUCCCAGGGUGAGUCGGGUCCUAAGGCGAGGCCGUCAGGCGUAGUCGAUGGAUAACGGGUUGAUAUUCCCGUACCUGUAUGCAUGCGACCAUGAUGAAUCAGUGAUACUAACUUUCGUGCUGUUGCAUUAUUGUGCUGCGCAUCCUUUUGUGGGUGUGUGGUUGGUGUGAUGGUGUUGGGAGGGCCUGAUCUGGUAGUAGUCAAGUGAUGGAGUGACGUAGUAGGGUAGCUAAGCCAUCUGGUGGUUAUGGUGGUGUAAGCGUGUGGCCUAAAGGCUAGGGAAAUCCGGUCUUUGUUUGUAAAGGUGAGGCGUGAUGCGUAGCCCUUUUUGUGGGUGAUGUUAGUGAUCCUGUGCUACCGAGAAAAGCUUCUAGCGAUGUGUGUGUACGGCCCGUACCCGAAACCGACACAGGUAGUUGGGUAGAGCAUACUAAGGCGUUCGGGUGAACUGUGGUUAAGGAACUCGGCAAAAUGCCCCCGUAACUUCGGGAGAAGGGGGGCCGCUGGUGGUGCCCCAUGUUGUCUGUGGUGGUGCUGUUGGUGGUCGCAGAGGAUAGAGGGAAGCGACUGUUUAUCAAAAACACAGGUCCGUGCGAAGACGGUUAAGUUGAGGUAUACGGACUGACGCCUGCCCGGUGCUGGAAGGUUAAGAGGACCUGUUAAACCCUUGUUGUGGGUUGAAGCGGAGAAUUUAAGCCCCAGUAAACGGCGGUGGUAACUAUAACCAUCCUAAGGUAGCGAAAUUCCUUGUCGGGUAAGUUCCGACCUGCACGAAUGGCGUAACGACUUCCCUGCUGUCUCAAUCACAGGCCCGGUGAAAUUGCAGUACGAGUAAAGAUGCUCGUUACGCGCGGCAGGACGAAAAGACCCCGGGACCUUUACUAUAGCUUGGUAUUGGUGUUCGGUUCGGUUUGUGUAGGAUAGGUGGGAGACUGUGAGGUUAUCACGCUAGUGGUAGCGGAGUCGUUGGUGAAAUACCACUCUGGCCGGAUUGGAUGUCUUAACCUUGGCCCAUGAUCUGGGUUGGGGACAGUGCCUGGUGGGUAGUUUAACUGGGGCGGUUGCCUCCUAAAAGGUAACGGAGGCGCCCAAAGGUUCCCUCAGCCUGGUUGGUAAUCAGGUUUUAGAGUGUAAGUGCAUAAGGGGGCUUGACUGUGAGACUGACAGGUCGAGCAGGAACGAAAGUUGGGACUAGUGAUCCGGCAUCUCAUUGUGGUUUGGGUGUCGCUCAACGGAUAAAAGGUACCCCGGGGAUAACAGGCUGAUCUUCCCCAAGAGUCCAUAUCGACGGGAUGGUUUGGCACCUCGAUGUCGGCUCGUCGCAUCCUGGGGCUGGAGUAGGUCCCAAGGGUUGGGCUGUUCGCCCAUUAAAGCGGCACGCGAGCUGGGUUCAGAACGUCGUGAGACAGUUCGGUCUCUAUCCGCCGCGCGCGUGGAAACUUGAUGAAAGGCUGUCCCUAGUACGAGAGGACCGGGACGGACGUACCUCUGGUGUGCCAGUUAUUGUGCCUAUGGUAUGGCUGGUUAGCUACGUGCGGGAGGGAUAACCGCUGAAAGCAUCUAAGCGGGAAGCCUGUUUUAAGAUAAGGUUUCUUUUGAGGUUCCCUAGAGAUGAUGGGGUUGAUAGGCCGGGGUUGUAAGCCUUGUGAGGGGUUGAGAUGACCGGUACUAAUAGACCGAUAGCACACAAA
rnacentral:rRNA from 1 species